AUGAACGCUGGCGGCGUGCCUAAUACAUGCAAGUCGAGCGAACAGACGAGGAGCUUGCUCCUCUGACGUUAGCGGCGGACGGGUGAGUAACACGUGGAUAACCUACCCAUAAGACUGGGAUAACUUCGGGAAACCGGAGCUAAUACCGGAUAAUAUAUUGAACCGCAUGGUUCCAUAGUGAAAGACGGUUUUGCUGUCACUUAUAGAUGGAUCCGCGCCGCAUUAGCUAGUUGGUAAGGUAACGGCUUACCAAGGCAACGAUGCGUAGCCGACCUGAGAGGGUGAUCGGCCACACUGGAACUGAGACACGGUCCAGACUCCUACGGGAGGCAGCAGUAGGGAAUCUUCCGCAAUGGGCGAAAGCCUGACGGAGCAACGCCGCGUGAGUGAUGAAGGUCUUCGGAUCGUAAAACUCUGUUAUUAGGGAAGAACAAAUGUGUAAGUAACUAUGCACGUCUUGACGGUACCUAAUCAGAAAGCCACGGCUAACUACGUG
rnacentral:rRNA from 1 species